AUGCUUCACUGCCUCUCCUCCUCGGCGUCUGAUCACGUGCCCCUUCUCCUUGACUGCACCGCGCGCUCACCUGUCACCAAAAGGUUCCAUUUUGAGAGAUUAUGGCUGCGCACCGACGGCUACAUGCAGGUCGUGCUUGAGGCGUGGACUACCGGGACCGACGAGUCGAACCCUUUCCGCCGUUUGGUGGCGCGGCUUAAGACCACCGCCCGGCGCCUCCAAAGCCGGAGCGCGAAGAAGAUCGGCGAUGUGUCUCGGCAGCUCUUGAUUGCUCGCGAGCUGAUUGCGCGCUUUGAUGCAGCUCAGGACCUGCAACCACUCUCUCCGGCCGAGGCUUGGCUGCGUCAACGCCUCAAAGGGCCUAUCUUGGCCUCGCUUCGCUUGAGCGCUCGAUCUCGCGCCAGCGUGUCAGACUCUCCUGGCUGCGGGAUGGUGAUGCAGGCCAGAAGUUCUUUCGUGUGCAUGCCGCACACCACAAGAUGA
rnacentral:rRNA from 1 species